rnacentral:misc_RNA from 1 species
UCCGAGUUGACCCCGGCAGUCUCCUCUCCCCGCGACCAGGAUGUCAAAGGCUGGUAAGGUUCUGCGCGUUGCUUCGAAUUAAACCACAUGCUCCACCGCUUGUGCAGGCCCCCGUCAAUUCCUUUGAGUUUUAAUCUUGCGACCGUACUCCCCAGGCGGAUAACUUAAUGCGUUAGCUGCGCCACCCAAGCACCAUGUGCCCGGACAGCUAGUUAUCAUCGUUUACGGCGUGGACUAC